CCUACGGGUGGCAGCAGUGGGGAAUAUUGGACAAUGGGCGAAAGCCUGAUCCAGCCAUGCCGCGUGUGUGAAGAAGGCCUUCGGGUUGUAAAGCACUUUCAGUGGGGAAGAAAGCCUUGGGGCUAAUACCCUCGAGGAAGGACAUUACCCACAGAAGAAGCACCGGCUAACUCCGUGCCAGCAGCCGCGGUAAUACGGAGGGUGCGAGCGUUAAUCGGAAUUACUGGGCGUAAAGCGCGCGUAGGCGGUCUGAUAAGCCGGUUGUGAAAUCCCCGGGCUCAACCUGGGAACGGCAUCCGGAACUGUCAGGCUAGAGUGCAGGAGAGGAAGGUAGAAUUCCCGGUGUAGCGGUGAAAUGCGUAGAGAUCGGGAGGAAUACCAGUGGCGAAGGCGGCCUUCUGGACUGACACUGACGCUGAGGUGCGAAAGCGUGGGUAGCAAACAGGAUUAGAUACCCCGGUAGUC
rnacentral:rRNA from 1 species